UUUAAAUGGCCGCAGUACCUUGACUGUGCUAAGGUAGCAUAAUCAAUUGGCUUCUAAUUAAAGUCUGGAAUGAAAGGAAAUAUGAAGUAAUUCUGUCUUAAAAGAUUUUUUUUGAAUUUAUUUAAAUGAUGAAAAUAUCAUUUUGUAGAAAAAAGACGAGAAGACCCUUAGAGUUUUGAUAUUAUUAUAUUUUUGUUGGGGCGACAGGUAAACACUAUAACUUUACGAAAUAUUAUUGAUCGAUUUUUUAUAAAAAUAAUAAAACUACCUUAGGGAUAACAGCAUUAUAUAUUUUUUAUGAUUGUGACCUC
rnacentral:rRNA from 1 species